CACUACAUGUAACUUGUGACGUACAGUGUGAUGUGACGUGAACAAGUAGCGACCAAGUCAUAUUUUACCACGAGCAUAUUAUUCUUAACUCUUCGACUUAAUGUCACGUAUACGUACAGUA